UACAGAGGUCUCAAGCGUUGUUCGGAAUCACUGGGCGUAAAGGGUGCGUAGGCCGCCCGGCAAGUCAGAGGUGAAAUCCCGGAGCUCAACUCCGGAAUGGCCUUUGAUACUGCCGUGCUCGAGGACUGGAGAGGAGUCUGGAAUUCACAGUGGAGCAGUGAAAUGCGUAGAUAUUGUGAGGAACACUAGUGGCGAAGGCGAGACUCUGGACAGUUCCUGACGCUGAGGCACGAAGGCCUGGGGAGCAAACAGG
rnacentral:rRNA from 1 species